CUGGCGGCGUGCCUAACACAUGCAAGUCGAGCGAGGAGAUCCUCGGGAUGAUCCUAGCGGCGGACGGGUGAGUAACACGUGGGCAACCUGCCUCAUAGAGAGGAAUAGCCUUCCGAAAGGGAGAUUAAUACCUCAUAACAUUGCAGUUUCGCAUGGAACAGCAAUUAAAGGAGCAAUCCACUAUGAGAUGGGCCCGCGGCGCAUUAGCUAGUUGGUGAGGUAACGGCUCACCAAGGCGACGAUGCGUAGCCGACCUGAGAGGGUGAUCGGCCACAUUGGGACUGAGACACGGCCCAGACUCCUACGGGAGGCAGCAGUGGGGAAUAUUGCACAAUGGGGGAAACCCUGAUGCCAGCAACGCCGCGUGAGUGAUGACGGCCUUCGGGUUGUAAAGCUCUGUCUUCAGGGACGAUAAUGACGGUACCUGAGGAGGAAGCCACGGCUAACUACGUGCCAGCCGCGGC
rnacentral:rRNA from 1 species